GACGAACGCUGGCGGCGUGCCUAAUACAUGCAAGUAGAACGCUGAAGAGAGGAGCUUGCUCUUCUUGGAUGAGUUGCGAACGGGUGAGUAACGCGUAGGUAACCUGCCUGGUAGCGGGGGAUAACUAUUGGAAACGAUAGCUAAUACCGCAUAAGAGUAGAUGUUGCAUGACAUUUGCUUAAAAGGUGCAAAUGCAUCACUACCAGAUGGACCUGCGUUGUAUUAGCUAGUUGGUGAGGUAACGGCUCACCAAGGCGACGAUACAUAGCCGACCUGAGAGGGUGAUCGGCCACACUGGGACUGAGACACGGCCCAGACUCCUACGGGAGGCAGCAGUAGGGAAUCUUCGGCAAUGGGGGCAACCCUGACCGAGCAACGCCGCGUGAGUGAAGAAGGUUUUCGGAUCGUAAAGCUCUGUUGUAAGAGAAGAACGAGUGUGAGAGUGGAAAGUUCACACUGUGACGGUAACUUACCAGAAAGGGACGGCUAACUACGUGCCAGCAGCCGCGGUAAUACGUAGGUCCCGAGCGUUAUCCGGAUUUAUUGGGCGUAAAGCGAGCGCAGGCGGUUAGAUAAGUCUGAAGUUAAAGGCUGUGGCUUAACCAUAGUACGCUUUGGAAACUGUUUAACUUGAGUGCAGAAGGGGAGAGUGGAAUUCCAUGUGUAGCGGUGAAAUGCGUAGAUAUAUGGAGGAACACCGGUGGCGAAAGCGGCUCUCUGGUCUGUAACUGACGCUGAGGCUCGAAAGCGUGGGGAGCAAACAGG
rnacentral:rRNA from 1 species